rnacentral:rRNA from 1 species
ACAGAGGUGGCAAGCGUUGUUCGGAAUUACUGGGCGUAAAGGGCGCGUAGGCGGCCAUCUAAGUCAGACGUGAAAUCCCCAGGCUCAACCUGGGAACUGCAUCCGAUACUGGAUGGCUUGAAUUCGGGAGAGGGAUGCAGAAUUCCAGGUGUAGCGGUGAAAUGCGUAGAUAUCUGGAGGAAUACCGGUGGCGAAGGCGGCAUCCUGGACCGACAUUGACGCUGAGGAGCGAAAGCUAGGGGAGCAAACGGGA